CCUCUCCCUGCCUCAGCACUGGUUUGCAGAUUUUGGUCCAGAAAUGGCGAGCGCAGCAGUAGCCCUCAGAGCAAUCGGACGAGCGCAGGCAAGGGUCGCCCUCGUGACCUGAAAGAACACCAGUGUGUGCUGCUGUCAGCAGAAUUGCUCUGUGGCUUUGUGACAGUGCAGAACAGCCACAUGCAUUGUGGUUUGUUCUCAGCUGCUCUGGUAUGUUUUGGGCACAGCGCAGCUGUUCCACGAGCAGAGGGCCCUCUAUCAACAUCGACUGGCAUCACUGGAUUGUUGAAGCUGUGGUAUUUUGUGGAGUGUUUGCUGUGCUCGUCCAACGCCGGGAUGUGAGGCGACAGCACGCUCUCCGACACCGGGACGCAAAUAUCUGCACAGAAAAAGAGCAGGAAGGGGAGGUUCAACUAUUAUGAGGGAAACAUUUUAAUAACAGCUGUGCUGCCAAAAUGAAUUUCUCAGUACACUGGAUAAUUUAAGGGGCGGGGCGUGAAGCCUCAAACAUCUCUGCUGGAGCAAUUCUUUAGUCCAAUUGAGAAGAAUUGUAGACUUUUUUUCACUCUCCUCCUCCUUUAUCUUUAAUAGUCAAAAGAACAAUUUAAACUUAAAAUUAAUACUUUUUUUGAUUGAGUUCAUCAGGCUGUACAUUUUGUCAUGAGAAUUUGUGAAUGAAUUCACACGCACAGUUACUGCAGCGGUUUCCAGGGCAGCACAUGGAAUCUCGGUUGCAUCUUUUCUUCUUCCGGCGACAGGAGAGGCAGCGGGAAGGACUCUGUUGAGGGCUGUGGCAGUAGCUGCCCACACUGCAUUCCUUGUCAUUGCUGCAUGGAUACACUUGCUGUGGAAAAACAAACACGACAUUUAUUUUUUUGUUUGUUCGUUUCUAUAUUCCACCUGCACCACAUGCAAAAAAUGAGUGGAAAAAGCAAAAACAGACACAACACUGUAAAACAAGAUAGUUUAAAAGUACUACAAACAAAAUAAAUAAACUUCAUGUGUUGGGUAGUUGUUUUUUCUCGCGUUCUGAUUUUAUUUUAACAAAUGAGUUUCAGAGGGAAAUUUCGUAAAAACCUGAGAAACUCUUAUUUUGAAGAAAAUCACCUCGGGUGAAAGAAAAAAGAGAAAAAUGAAGCGACUUAAACAAGCUGCAACAUUCAUCAGCGCUACGGCAGCACAUCGGAAGUUCUCACAUGCAGUUUGAGCUUAAGAAAAAAAA